AUUGAACGCUGGCGGCAGGCCUAACACAUGCAAGUCGAGCGGAUGAGUGGAGCUUGCUCCAUGAUUCAGCGGCGGACGGGUGAGUAAUGCCUAGGAAUCUGCCUGGUAGUGGGGGACAACGUUUCGAAAGGAACGCUAAUACCGCAUACGUCCUACGGGAGAAAGUGGGGGAUCUUCGGACCUCACGCUAUCAGAUGAGCCUAGGUCGGAUUAGCUAGUUGGUGAGGUAAAGGCUCACCAAGGCGACGAUCCGUAACUGGUCUGAGAGGAUGAUCAGUCAAACUGGAACUGAGACACGGUCCAGACUCCUACGGGAGGCAGCAGUGGGGAAUAUUGGACAAUGGGCGAAAGCCUGAUCCAGCCAUGCCGCGUGUGUGAAGAAGGUCUUCGGAUUGUAAAGCACUUUAAGUUGGGAGGAAGGGCAGUAAGUUAAUACCUUGCUGUUUUGACGUUACCAACAGAAUAAGCACCGGCUAACUUCGUGCCAGCAGCCGCCUAAUAC
rnacentral:rRNA from 1 species